CCCCCGCCCGGGUGCUGGAGCGAAGACCCAGGCGGAAAUCGCGGGGCUAUGUUUCUUUCCUAUUUCCCCGCGUGCCGGCCGCCUCCUCAGCCCUCGCACGUUUCUUCCCAGCACUCGAGGCCGCCGGGUCUGUUAUGAAACCCCGAGCGCUGAGUGGCUAAGAGCGGGUUCCAUUGCGAUGUAAUUAGGUCACCCCAUUAUGAGCACGUUUCUUUGGAAAGGACAGGGCGGGCGGAGCAGAGCGCUCGAGUCGCGCUCUCACCACCACCACCCAUCCGCCCACCCACACACGCAUUUUUAUUACAUUUCUGAUGUAUUCGUCAACCUCCGAGCGGACCCAGGGAAACCUUCCAAAUCACAACGAAAGGAACCGGUUGUUUUUCAUCUUUCAGAAACACACAACUUCUGCUGCAGCCACGAAUCUACGCGAUCCCAGCCCGGUCUGCUGUUAUGUGGCCCCUCUGACUUAAACUGAUGACGGGCCCCAUUUUUAACCUGGCCGCUGCCCCUCGCCUUUCCUUCUGCUGCUGUCCAGCCUCCUGUUGCUUCCCCCCACCGCGCCUCGUUCCCAUUUUUCAGCUUUUCUUGAAAUCUGGCAAGCGCCAGAAAGGGAAAUAACUUCCAUCCACCUUAAUUUAAAUCAUUCAAGUGUAAGUUUCUUUCUUAAAGGAGUGUUUGCUCGCUCCUUUCCCCAUGCUCCCCCUCCAAGUCGGGGCGGGGGGCGUCGUGCAGUUUCUUGGUGAUGAGGUAAUGAGUUCCAGAUUUCAGGACAGAGCAGGCUGCGCGUUAAAACCACAAGAAAACGCCGAUUCCUCGAAUUUCCUCCGCUUUUCCAACUCCCGGCCGCCGCUCCCCUCCCCCGCUCCCGGGGCGCGGGCUCGGCGGGGCGGCGGCCUGGCCCGCUCCCUCCGGAGUUGUUUACCGGCCCCGCCGACCCACCGAGUUUGUUCCAGCUCCCAGAGCCUGUCUCUAUAAUUAAACUCUUUUUUAAUUGUCGGGUUGAAACGUCAUUUCGGGGACUUUCCAAGGGUGAGGGAGCCGCGGGGAGGGAGCGAGCCUCCUUAACCCUUCGCUGACCCGGCGGGCCGACGAGCCGCGUCCAGCCGGGCCGAGGUGGGCUGGGAGUCCGAGGACCGGAGUCGGCCCGCCCCGGCCGGACGUGCUCUGCAGGUGCCCGAAGGCGGCGAGGAUGACCGCCAGCCCCCACCGAGGCAGGAAGCCCUGCGAGAGCCGUGCGCCGCCCUCCCCGCCUCCUUCACGAGACAGUAGGCGCUCGGGUUCCUAACUUGCGCCGGGUCUGGAGAGGCCGCCCCUUCACCUGCACUGCCGCUUCCGACCGGGAGGCGGUCGCCCGGGUCCUCCGUCCCAGGCCCGACUUCCGGGCCCUCCUGGCUCCCUUGCAGCCCGAUAUCCUCGCGAGGAAGGCCUAGCCAGGUACUUUUGGCUUGGGGGUGUUAGGUUUCGUUCAAGGAGAAAAGUGAAAGUCCUCGGAAUGAGGGAAGGGCGACAGACAUAUUCAUGGGCCAGUCUGGACCGUGGGCGCACCCCGCAGCAGCCCCAGCCCCUUUGCUUUGGAAUUAUCCUCUGGCCUCUCCUGCAAAGCCCAGCCCGGAAAGGGACCAACCCCACCCUGGGGAGCUCUUCCUCGAGAAGCAGGAUCCACCCCCCCAGCCAGAGCAGGGAGCUGACAACUCUUGGAGGGUCGGCACAUAGGCAGCCGGAGAGAGGAUGGAACUCUGCCACCACCCCGUGACUUCUCCCAAGCUGAAUUUCUCCUGCCAACUAAACCCUCCACCCUGCGGGGGCCAUGGGCCCCCAAACCAGGGCCUGCCCUCGUCUGACCAAAGGCAACCAGAUCUGCUGCAGCUGUUCAGGGAGAGAACAAGCUCUCCCAGAGACCGUGGAAGCGGCUAGAGAAAGAUUACUGCCAGCCUGGGGGUUUAAAUAUUUAUACAACGUGGUAUGUGGGAAGAGGGAAGACAGAGGGAGGUGGCAGGAAUGAGGGGCACUGAGACCGCAGGGUGUGGGGGCCUGCUCUUCGGGCUCAGGUGGGAAGGGCGAGAGGCUGCUAGGCCCCUAGCUCCCCUCCCAGCGCCCCCCCCCCAAAUUCCUACAUCCAAGAGGCAGGUCUUUGCCCCCAGCCUUCCUGCCAGAGUUGAGAGGGGAACUUAGAAGCAAGUUCCCCAUCCUUCCCUUAAGUCCCCUGAAUGUCCCUCCGGACUAGGAUGGGCCUCUCUGCAGUGAGGGAGGCUCUGCCUUCAACCAGAGACAAAGUGGGGCAGCGGGGCCCAGGCAUGAGGACUUGUGGGCUCCUGGACCUUCUGGUUCUAGGAGUCUGAGAGGAUGCUGGAUGCCAGGAGUUGGACUCUAAGGUUGAAGGCUUAGCAAACAGAAGCAAACUAUAAAAUAAGCAAAGCUCUUUCUCCAGCUUCUAUAUAUAAUCAAUGAUAUUUGUCCAAAGUAGCAGAACGUUGGACAUUGAUAAGGAUGAUGAGGCACGGAGGCGACCAGGCAGGCGAGCCAGGGGUAGAGAAGGCAAGGGAGACCUUGAUGGCACUCGUGGAGCAGCACGUGGCCACCAUCCCCAUGGGGUCCAGGAGAGGAUGGUGCAGCCGGAUGGACAUCCAUGGGGGCUCUGGGGCCCCAGCAUCCCAGGUAUGCAUUGACAAAGUCGCUUCUCAGCCAGGCCCACCCCAGAGCUCAGCCAGGCCGCAGUGGCACCGAGAGCCCGGGGUGGGAGGCAAGCAUGGGUCGGGGGUGGGGAGGGUGGGGGACGGCCAGAUGGACUCCAGUCGCUCUGCCUCAGACAGCUGGGGAGCAGAGCAAGGAUGAGCCUCUCUGUCACUCCACAUGGGAGGGGCGCGGCUGCGACUUCUAGGGUUUCUCUGCCACCGCAUCCUUCGAGAAGUGCCACCUGCUUCUAUCAGUUUGAGGCUGAGCCUCAGGGCCUCCCACAGGUGGGGUCUGUGUUGCUCCUCAGUGGCCAGCCACCUUUAAGACACCUUGAGAUGAUCAGCCACUACUUCCAUUCUCCUGGAGCCCUGAAAACGCCCCCUGGCUGGGCUGGGCUGGGGGUGUUGGGAGGGGGUCUUCAGCCAGAAAGCAACUAUCAAAGGACACCCAGACUCCCCCAAGAGGCAGCCCCCCAUACUGCAAGUCUUCCCACCCACAGCACAGAGCUUUGCUAGAAAUGCAUUCCCCAUGCACCUCCCCAGAGCGCCCACCUUUAGGGGGAUCCCGGUGAAUCCCCCACCUGUCCACUCCAAGAGGGACGGAUUCCACGGCCUCCCUGAGCAAUGGGGCCCAGGCCCACACACCGUGGAGGAAACACCAUCUGCCCCAACCUUCAGCUCCAGCCUGGCAGCCCAUGUGAACCCUCGCAGCAGGAAGAGGAACCCUGUCCCCAGCGCCGCCACCCUCCAGAAGGGGGCUCUUCUUCCAGGGACACCAGGGCUGCGGGAGAAUCUUCUGAUGCUCAGGUCAUCUUGUGCCGCCGUGGCUCUGCCUGCCGGCUGUGGCCUCCUUCUUGCCAGCUCGGCUGAAAGAAAUGAGCAAGAAUAAAGCCUAAACCUGUGUGGCCCAAGGAAAGCUUGAGGGGAACGCAUGGAUGCUGAAGGAAAAGGAGGGGAAAAGCAACAAGAAAGAGGAGAGGAGGGGAACUCAGGAAACAGACAAAAUAAACCAUCCGGGAAUCCAGAUGUAAAACAAGGAAAGCCAAAAGAGAAAAGAAAAAUUAUGCUAAAAAGGCAGAGUCGGGUGGGGAAGGGACUUGAGAAGGAAAAAGAAGAGGAGGGCAGUUAUAAAUAUUCUGAGAAGAGAAGAAUGGGAAAGCAAACAACACCAGAAAAACAAAAUAGAGACCCAGGAGGGAAAGAGAGGCAGCAAUGAGUUUAAAACUGCUUCGACCCUCAACCAACCACACUGGGUAACGCUCUGAGUCUUCGUGCAUUUUGUGACUUCAGACACUUCUAACACUGAGCGGAGGACAGUCCCAGAAAAGCAAGCUUUCGGGGCACCUGGGUGGCUCAGUGGGUUAAGCCUCUGCUUUCGGCUCAGGUCAUGAUCCCAGGGUCCUGGGAUCGAGCCCCACAUCAGGCUCUCUGCUCAGCAGGGAGCCUGCUUUCCUCC